GUUUCUCUUUUGGGCUUGUGUACAGACUGCUGCCACGCCGGCUGGCUAGGUCGCUCUGGGAGGAGCAUCAAAGGCAGCAACAGAAACAAGCACCCACAGCUAAGAACUGAACCAUACUCCUGGAAUCCAUUUGCUGAGAGGGAGGAGUGAUGAGCAAAGAAGGAAAGGUUGACAAAAGAAGACCAGAAGAUACAGAUGCCUGCAGCCAAACCAGAUGCCAAGAGACUAACUGAUAGGUUUCCACAUGGUAGAAAAUUAAUUAGUUCCCAAAACUUCCAUAAAAUGUCCUCUGAACCCCACAUAUAUGCUGUGGCUUGCAUGUGGCCAUAUACCUAUUUAGUUAAGUAAGUUAAAUGAUUUAAAACAUCAAAUCCAUAAGACAGACAACACAAAUAGAUAUAAACUAAGCAACCAGAAUCUAUACAUCUUCAGAAGAGGAAAUAUCUAUGGCCAGUAGCUACAGGAAAGGAUGUUUAAUUAGAGGAAAUCUUGGUUUUCAUCCAAGGUUAUUUACUAGAUUACCAACAUGUAAACCCCUAAAAUUACUAAUAUUUUUCUAGGGCAUGAAGUUUACAUACCAACUCUGUAUAUACAAAUUGUUGUAAGACUUUGACAGUAUAGCAAAAUUUUAUGAAAUUGGAAUAAUGUUCUCUGAUCUAUUAAAAAUCCAUUUGUCAUGAAAAUUGAAGACUAUACCAUAAUGUUAAGCUUGUCAUUAUCUUAAUAGAACUCCAGUAUCUACCAAUAAAGUAAUAGAAAUUAAUGGAAAUGCUUUUCUGUAAUGAAAUAUGUAGGCAACUAGAAAUAUAGAAUAAUUGUGCUUUGUCUAUCAAAAUUGGUUUCAUAAAUACAAUGCCACUGACUGAACAGUGAUUGGAAGAGACAGAUACCAAAGAAUACUUGCAGGCUCUGAUGGCAGCAUCUACAAAUCUACACUUUAUUACAGGAAAUGUAAUUGUGGUAAUAAUUUGUUAAGAAUAAUACAGCAGCAGCUCAUUGUUGUCUAUCAGCUGUCUGGAAUGCUGGCACCAAGUUGUCUCUUCUUCCCUCAGCACAUAUCCAAUACAAAAACCAUAUGACAUUUGGAAAAUAUAUACUAGAAACCACACAGUGCCCCAUUGCUUCAGUCAGAGUUUCACAUGCAUUACUGUCUACACAAGGUCAACCUUCCAAUGCAUCACAUUAAUAUUAUAGUCUCCUAUGUUACCAACAUAAAUCUUACCAUCAUCAGUAAAUAAUUCUUGCAAGCUGUAUAUCAACAGCUUGUUUUGAAGAUUGCUAGGGAAUUCCAUUGAUCAGAGUGUUUCCAGACUUUGUUAGGGUAAUGGCCAUGCUAGUACUUGAACAACAUUCUACAUAUUAUUUCUGGAUUAACCUUCACAACCAUAUAAAAGGAAAAUAAGAAACACAUAUACAGCAUGGUAUUAUUCAGAAAAUGAUUAAAUGCUACAAAGGGAUGUGUGUGAGUAUAAAUACAUAAUUUUUGUAAACAAACUGUUAAAGUAUAAACUACACAUAUAUUGUGAAAGUAUAAACACACGAGAUAUAAUCUUCACACAAUUCUGAAAAUAAUAACUAAGACAAAACCUUGAAUAACAUGAGUUAGAUAAAAAUACUUUUAAAAGAUAUAAGAAUAAUUUCUAUAUGAAUUUAGAAUUUAGGAACAUGACUGUGUGUGAAAAAAACUGUAUAAUGUGAGUUACAAAGAACUAGAUGUAAUAAAAGUGGCAUCAUCAUCACCAUUAUGCACCAAAUCUACUGAACAAAAAUAGUAAUGAUAGCCUCGUAGGAUGUAAUAGGGUUGCACCUUGCUACGUUUCCCUCCACAAUCAUUCUUCCCUAAUAUACCUAGACACGUGCAGUCUGCUUUGGUCAACUAGUUUGAAAUGGAGUGCUGGAAAGAUCUGUGAACAAAAAUCUUUUUUUUUUAUCAGCCUGAUAGCUGGUAUUAGCCAAUCCCUAAAGCUGAUUAUUCUCAUUUCAAUAAUGUCAACAAUCUGUACCUGACAAUGAAUAGCAUUUCUCCAAAUCCUUGCUUUCUCAUGCAUUUAGAAGCCUGUACAGUACCUUUUCGGUUUUUCCUAAUCUCCUCUAAUCAUCUGUACUCCAAGUACAUCACCCUGAGUUUAUGAACGGGGACCCUAUUUUACAGUAAAUAUUGAUGAAAUCACAAAUCAGGUUCUAUACACAGCCACACCCAAAACUUUUGAUAUAAAAUAUCUGAAAUGCUCUUUACACUUUAACUUUUUGUGUAAGUGGUUGGCCCUAUUCUCUCUGAUCGAUAUAUUGGCAGAGCUAUACUGAUAUUGUUAUCUUAUGUCUUAUCAAAUAUUUAGUCAUGCCUCAUUCUUAUUAAAUAAUUUAGUUAUUUCUUCUAUUUUCAUAAACUCUACAGAUAUCAUUUUUAAUACCUGAUAUGUCCCUGGUCAUGCUCCCCUGUUCUGAAAAUCUGCCAGUAAUUUUUCAUAAUUAGUAAUCCCACUGAUAUCACUAUAUCACAUUCACUGUGAAAUUGUGUCUUUUGGUAAAAUUCAAUAAUAAUUAUUAUUCAGCACAACUCCAUAUGUCCAUGGAGCAAAAGUACACUGCUCUAUUUAUCUCCUAAUUAUACCAGAUACCAUAUCUGUUUUGCUUUCCUCCUGUUAUACAACUAAUUGCUCAUCAUCAUUCUCCAUCACUAGUUCUACUGCUCUUUGUAUUGUUUAUGUUGGCAUAUUCCAUGCCUCUAUUUUAAAACAUGUGUUUUUAGAUGAACACUUUUUCAUACAUGUCUCUAUUCCUCAUCCUUCUUUAAUAGCCUUUGUAACAUACUUUGCAAAUAUGGCUUUCUUAAUUUUGCCUACUUUUUUCUCUCACUACUGUUCUUUUUUUAAAUUCUAUGAAAAUACAAUUCACCAGCAUCUUUCCCCUCUAUUAGUCUACUGGCACCUGAGCAAGUUUAGCAGUACCUGAAAUCUCUUGGGUAUCUAAAUGCCUGUUCUCCUGAGGCUGUUACAAAUUCUUCUGUCAUUAAGUUUAAGUUAGAGGUUAAAGACAAGCAUAGAAUUGUGAUCAUAACAAGAAUAUUAGACAUUGAUAACUAACAUGAGCAAAUAGUUGGCUAGGGUUAUACAUGCAAAUUUGUCUUUUUUCUAGACAUCCACACGAAAAUUGCUGGGAUGAUUCCAGGAUAUAAUAACCUCAAGGCCAUGUAGUCAGUCAUUCUUCCCCUUAAGUAACUAAUGGCAUAGAAAAGCAAUAGACAUUACUCACCAAUGAAAACAGGAGAUUUCUACCCCUGACUUAAGAGGAUGUCAAGUCAAUAAAGAAUUUCAUUGUUAUUUUUUCCAUAUGUGAUAUACGAGUGGAGAACACAGAAUUGCAUUUUGAUCAUAAAUAAUCAGUCAUAUGGAACCAAUCAUUUUGAUUAAUAUAAGUCAGUUGAAACAGAUUGUUAAUCACAAUAACAAUAAAGUAUCAGGACUCCUAUUGAAAGUUUUGUGAGAUCUGACAUUUUAAAUCAAAAGAAACUCAAUUAUUUAUCUAAGUCAUCUUGCAGUAGAAAAAGGAAGCUUAUGGCAUUAAAGCUACAUAAGGACACAUAGCAUUAGAAUUCUAGACAAAAUAAAUAUGUCACAUAGUCUAAAACUAAAUUAAAGAUAAGGUACAUUUUAGGAAUAUUGAAGUAUGUGUAAUAAUUUAAGGAACAUUAAUUAGGAUGAAAAUAAUGUCUUCCCCUACAUUGUAAAGCUUGAGAGUUUGAAUAUAAUAUUUUUUAACACAUACAACACUAAGUACUAAUUGUAUAAUGGUAAAUGAUUUAAUGAUAUAUAAUUACUUAAAAUAUCAUCAAAGAAAAUUAUUUCCUAUAUCAAGAAAUUAUAUUUAAAAAGUAUGUUAUUUCAGGAGUACCGAUAAUCAUGGCUCAAAAAGUAACCAUUAGAGAGAUCUAAAUAGGUAGCAGACUACCAGUGAGGACCUGGAGGAAUGAGCAGGAAGACCAGAUGCCUACCAACUGCUACAGCUGUUGCCAUGGUCAGAAUCCCCACAGAGGGAGGACUCUACCUCCAGAGCCCUCACCCAGUGGCUGAUGGAAACAGAGACAGACAUCCACAGAUAUACAAUGAGCCG